rnacentral:rRNA from 1 species
UACGAAGGGGGCUAGCGUUGCUCGGAAUUACUGGGCGUAAAGGGCGCGUAGGCGGACAGUUUAGUCAGAGGUGAAAGCCCAGGGCUCAACCUUGGAAUUGCCUUCGAUACUGGCAAUCUCGAGUCCGGAAGAGGUUGGUGGAACAGCUAGUGUAGAGGUGAAAUUCGUAGAUAUUAGCUAGAACACCAGUGGCGAAGGCGGCCAACUGGUCCGGUACUGACGCUGAGGUGCGAAAGCGUGGGGAGCAAACAGG